UUGAAGAAACAAUGGAGAUGAGUAAGAAUAAUUAAAUGGUUUAAUUAUUUAUGGCAAGGAUUGAUUAAUAUGUUAAUUAAUCAAACGAAUAAGUUCGUUAAAGACCUCGGGAUAGUUUUGGGCCUCAAGGCCCAAUGGGUUUCGAACGUCAAGUCCAUUGACUUAAGUUGUAUGACAACUUAAUUCACAAAGGCCCAAAAGCCCA
rnacentral:lncRNA from 1 species